UACGGAGGUCUCAAGCGUUGUUCGGAUUCAUUGGGCGUAAAGGGUGCGUAGGCGGUGAAAUAAGUUGGAUGUGAAAUCCCGGAGCUUAACUCCGGAACUGCACUCAAUACUGUUUUGCUAGAGUACUGGAGAGGAGAUUGGAAUUCACGGUGUAGCAGUGAAAUGCGUAGAUAUCGUGAGGAAGACCAGUGGCGAAGGCGAAUCUCUGGACAGUUACUGACGCUGAGGCACGAAGGCCAGGGGAGCAAACGGG
rnacentral:rRNA from 1 species